rnacentral:rRNA from 1 species
AACGAACGCUGGCGGCAUGCUUAACACAUGCAAGUCGAACGAGACGGUCCGGUCUAGGGGCGCAGGGGUGCGUACGGCGGGGUAACCUGUCCUUAGGUUCGGCAUAACUCCCCGAAAAGGGUGCGAAUACCGGAUUAUUUCUUGGGACCAAAGAUUUCUCGACUUUGGAUGGGCCCGCGUUGGAUUAGCUAGUUGGUAGGGUAAAAGCCUACCACGGCGACGAGCCAUAGCUGGUCGGCGAGGAUGAUCAGUCACACUGGGACUGGGACACGACCCAGACUCCUACGGGAGGCGGCGGUGGGUACUAUUGGACCAUGGGCGAAAUCCUGAUCCGCCACGGCCGCGUGAGUGGUGAAGGCCUUGGAGUUCUAAAGCUCUUUUACCGGGGAUGAUAAUGACGGUACCGGGAGAAUAAGCACCGGCUAACUCCGUG